rnacentral:snRNA from 1 species
GGGUGUGAGGGUGGUCCUGCCGGGACACCAGGCACCCAUCGAUUGCCUGGGUUGAUUUUGCUGAUCUAACCAGUGGGCUAGGUGUCUGGCCUCCUUCCUCCCCAUUCCAUGCAUGUUCUUCCUGGUGCUGCAGACCAAGUCAGAGAGAGGGGGCCUUCCCCUGUAGAGCAUCAUUCUUUGGCCAAGGGUGUGUGAUGACUUUGUCUGUUAUCUGGCAUUCUAAGGGAAUAUAGUGUUCUGGUUAAUCUUAUUGGAGUAACUAAAAUACUGAACAUGAGUAUUAUAAUUUUU